AGCAAUGUAAGAAAAAUCUGUGUACUAAAAAUGUGAAAAUAGUUUCCUGGUUUGUGUUUUCAUUCUCCCAAUAUAGGUUUUGGAUGACAAGCUUGUAUUUGCAAAAAUACACACCCUGUGGGAUGUGCUCUGUACAUACGCUGAGAUACUGUACAUAAAAUUGCCUCUGAAUCCCAAUCAUCUGAAAACCCUGUUCUCAGCCUUUGAUACCUUCAGCUGUUUUAAGAAAGUCCUCCAAGUGGAUGAAAGUAUCAACAACCGGAACAAGAGUUUUUCAUUGCCCUAUUUGAGAAGAGCUGCGUGAACGACUUUUAUAUUCAGGAUAGAGAUACAUUCAUCAAUCCAACCACCAGGAGCCGCACUUGCAACUUCAGCCUCCAUCAGAGGACCUCAGCUGCCCCAGCGAACAGGGCCUUCUGUACAGGGAAUGUGCUCCUCCUCGAAGCAUAGACAAGAAGCAGCCCUUAGAUCUCAUCAGGAAAUUCUACGGAGAGAAGGUCGGAAUCUACUUUGCUUGGGCUGGGCUAUUACAUUCAGAUGCUCCUCCUGGCAGCAGUCGUGGGGGUGACUUGCUUUCUGAAGAAGAGCGUGUUCCAUUUACCACCUGGGGAAAGUGUAUACAUAUAACCCUUUGUGCAAGUGCUCUUUUUCUGGAACCUGAAUGGAGGCGACCAGUUCCGGAAGUACUUGACUGUGCAGGUGGGCCAUGCCCAUCACUGCUUCCCUCAUCAGUUUUAUCAUCAUCGUGACCCUGAACACCAUAUAUGAGAAAGUGGCAAUCAUGAUGACUGACUCUGCUGCAGAGAUCCCAAGGACCAGACUGACUGUGGGAACAACCUAGCCAUGAAGGUGUUCUUCUUCCAGUUUGUCAACUACUACUCCUCGUGUUUCUACAUCACAUUCUUUAAGGGCAGAUUUGUGACUUAUCCUGGAGAUCUGGUGUAUUGGCUGUGAAAAUACAGAAAUGAAGACGUGUGAAUACAGCUUUGUGUUCGGACAGUCUAACCUGUUUCAUGUUUUCUCUUAGUUGCCCAAUGAAGAGUGUCUUUACUCUCUGUUCCUUAGAUUUUUUUAGGCAUAAAAUAAUGACUUUAUUUCAUGUUAGAGCUAUCUAAAAUUUAAAUGAGAUUUUCUUUCUAAUAUUCCAGUGUGACCCAGGUGGCUGUCUCCUUGAACUGAUGAUGCAGCUGACAAUAAUCAUGGGAGGACCGUCCAUCUGGAAUAACAUACAAGAGGUGUUACUUCCGUGCUUCUCAUGUGUAAGUUGGUAUCCCUGCACGAGAACCAUAAAUCAACAGAAAACCCAAAAGACCGAGGACAACGAUGGGUAGACGACAGCCCAAGCUUUUCUGCCACAGAAGAGUGGUUCCACUCAGGAAGACUGAGCAAGAGACUCAGAGCCUUAGCUAAGGACAAGCAAGUCGGGACUUCUAAUACGACCUAAUGCCAUCAACGGGGGAGGGCAGUUCAGCACAAGAAGGGAGCACCGGGUGAGUUAACAUGGAAGUUACAUCCUGGAUCCAAACCGUGAUGGAUUUGGGUCCCGGAGGGUUAAAGCCCUCCUUCCGUGGGGCUUGGACCGCAUUCCACAAGAGGCUGAGACAGGAAUUAUGAGGCAGAGAAAAAUUCCCCCAGGAGACUCCCGAGUCUGGGUGCCUGGAAGGGUGAUGGACGAGCGCGGUCCCAGCUCCACCCGCACCGCAGGGCUCCGAGUGGCUGUGGAGCUGCGCGCUCCCGGCCGGACCUCAGACCUGACUGCAGCGCUCCGGGCUGCGGCCUGGGGAUCGGCGUCAGGAGCAGGCUGUCCCCGUCAUUCCCAUAAGUGCUGCAGUGACCCCCACCCUUGUGGCCACGGUGUUCCCAAGCCAAGGGUCUAAGUGACUUCAACCUUAUUUACAGGUGACCACAGCCGGUUAGCCUGUGCUGCUCAAAAAGAAGAUCCCAUAUGGGGUUUUGAUGUGUUAGGGGGUUUGCUAAUACCUGGCCUGCUUUGAAUCGUUUCAUCCUGACAGCAGCCUGGGCAGGGGAAGUUUCAUCUCCCAAUUUUAUUUCAACUUUUUUGUUGAAAGUAUAGUUGGUGUACAAGAUUGUGUUAAUUCUUGGUGUACAGCAUAGUGAUUCACUUAUACAUAUAUAUAUAUAUUCCUUGUCAUAUACUUUUCCACUAUAGGCUAUUAAAAGUUAUUGAAUGUAGUUCCCUGUGCUAUACAGUAGGAUCUUGUUGUUUGAAACAAAAAUUACUAAACAAAGUAACAAAGGAAGCAGACUAAACCUAGCCAUGUAUACGGCACAGUUGAGUUUUUCUCAGGAUUUAAAUGUGGUUUUGAUCUCCAGGAUCUCUUUAUCAACUUAUCAUAUGUAAAGUGCCUGUGGAACACUUCUCAGAAAAAUGUUUAAAAAUCAUAAGAUUUAGAGAAUAAAGAAGGAAGAUAAUUAUACUGAAAAGCAGGUAUCAAAAUAUAGAAAUGGGCAUUUGUGAUACAGUAAUAUCUGAAUUAUUGGAAGGACCUGUUGAAUAAGAGGAUCCAGUGGUGGGUCUACUGACCGCAACAUUCUGCCACAGCAGUGAGUGUAAAUCAACUUCUGAGAUCUGCAACAAUUGCAUUUUGAAUGUAAAUAAAGUUAAAUAACAAAUAAGCCAUGAAGUGUGGAUUCAGAUUCAGGGGUAUCUCGAGUCCAUAUCCCCACCCCUUCACAGAGCUCCCUGCUCUUCCCCUAAUGUCAUUGAAAGAAUUGGGGAAAGUUUGUGAAGCGAAGGGCAUGUUCCAUUGCAAAGAAAUCUCGUAGCAACCCUGGGAGCAUGGCCAGGGAAAGGUUAACGCUGAGAUCAGAGGCAGUGGGAAACCUAGCAGGGGCAGCUCUU